GGUGGGCGGCAGGGGCAAUUAUGACCGCAGGCUGGUUUAGGGGUUGGGUAAGGUCAGGUGUCCUCUGGGGUUGGGAGGAGGAAGGUCGGCUGGUGGCCCAGCUGCGGGGUUCUGGUGGGUCCAGGCCGAUGGAGUGGCUCACCUGUGUAGGCCAGGACGCAGUUCUGGGUUGUGUCAAGGAAAAAUAGCUUGUCCCGAAUUUCAUGAGAAUGACCAAAUAACAUCCUUUGAAGGCUGAUCAGCACUGGAUCAGAACCGCUACAUGAAACCUGAGAAACUCCUAAAACCCAUUCCCCAGAAUGGAUAUCGCAGAGUAUGCUCAGACAGAGCCACUCAGGCCUGCAUUCCGCAUCAAAGAACACAUGAAAGAACACAGAUCGGAGAAAGAAAAACCCCAACUUUGGUAACAGGAUUCCAGUGAGGAAUUCCGGUCGUUCUGAUGCUUUGCAUGAAACACUUUGAACUUUCAGAAAAGAGCUUUAGAUUUGUUGGCAGACCCUGAAAAGCAUGAAAUGGCUUCUGAGACUUGGGAUGCUUUUGCCAGCUUGAUUCAGAGCCACAGAAAACAGCUGUUGGGAAUAAGUUACAGAUGGGUUCAUCGUUGUGCAAAUAGAGUUCCCCUCCCCUCUCCGGAACAUAGGACCAGCCAAGAGCUCCAGAAAAGGACGUCUGUCCAGUGCAGGAGUCCGAGAGCACAGCUGUGUCACAGAGGCUUGAGAAGAGGUGCAGACUGAGCCCAGGCACAGGAGGAAGAGUGCGAGCACACGUGCGUCUUGGAAGCUCUGGCUGACUUCGAGAAGGACCGAUUACCAUUUUCCAGCACACAGAAUGCUUUCUUAUUUGUGUCUGAUUUCUGUUUCUUCCCUUCUGCUCUGGCUCUUGCCAGAUAUUUAAUAAUGUGAUUUUCUAUUUAAUCACAUUUUCUCACUCUACAGAGCACUUCCGUGGGAGGUCAUUUAGGAGAUGGAAUGGACUUAUUUUUGCCUUCAAUUUUAGUAGCUUGUUGGAACGGAGUAUUUGAUAAGCCUUGGCCUGGGUUAACUAGGUGUUGGGAUAUGACCAUAAAGGGCAUUUCUGAAAGUGUGAGAGUGCUUUGUUACAAAGACCGGAGAAGGCAGGCACCUUACCCACAUUCUAGGUUGGCUAAAGCUCCAGGACCACACGAAGGUAGGACUGGAUUCAACUCAAUGGGGGCCUCCCAUCAGGGAUUCGUGAGAAAAGUCCUCAAGGUCCUCCGGGAGACAGCAGGGCGCAGUGGGCAGGCAGAUGGGGGCUCUGUUUAUUCUCUUCGGGCAAAACCAGCCAUUCGUCGAGUACGUCAGCUUAUUCGGUAUCAGUUUAUUCUCCAUCCUCAGGAGAUGGCUGGGAGCAACCAGCUCUGGAAGCUCUGCUGUGGAGGCCUGAAUGCUGGCUGUGCCCUCAGUAGCCUUGUGACUUUGGGGAAGUAUGGCACCUUUCUGUGCAGUACUUUCUUCUGUAAAAUGCAGUUUGCAGUGAUGUGCUUCCCUCCAGGGGUCCUGUGAGUAGCAGAUGAGUUCACGGAUAUAAAAUGCAUCAAAGCGUGCUUGGCCCAUGCUUUUAGUAAAUGUUUGCCAUAGUCCUUAUAGGAGUCCAUUUAAGACCCUUCCUAAGGUGCUAACUCAUUUUCCAGGUUCUGUCUUUCAGAAGUGGUGAGUGUAUCUAAAGGGCAUGAUUUUUAGAGCAGCUUUAGGUUGACACAAAACUGAGCAGAAAGUACAGAGCUCCAGCACACGUAAGAUUUUUUUGUCACUAGCAAAAUGUACCCGCUGGUGAGAGACACUUUCCUUUGGGACUGUUCUCGCAGGAGGAGGGUUCAGAGGACUGAGCUAAGCUACAUAAUCAACAAACCACUGUGCGGGACACGGGAAUGGAUGAGGCUGAGAGGAUAAUACACGAAGUUGCAGCCUGUUUGAGAAUUUUCCCUGAAGGCCUGGCUGUGGUACAGACUGAGGACUCCAGUGUGGCCCUCUGCUGCCAAACCCACUGCCGCUCGUGUGCAGCCCAGGUGGAGGAUGCAAACGCCCUGUGCCCAGGCCUUCUGUCCAGCUUCUUAUGAAUGAUGUGUCUGGAACUUCCAAGUCUCAGCAUGCAGUAGUAUAUUGUUCCGUGAGGACAAACUGUGACGAAAUUCAAGGAUUUGGCUCAUUUUAUUGUUGGAAAAGCUUCCUGCUGGCCAGUCAAAAUGGUGAUAAGUCACUUUGUCUAUGAUUUGGGCUGCUUCCUUAAGUCUGUACGUGAGCUUGUCUAUAAUAAAAUCAUGGGAUAGACAAUCCUGGCUUAUUCCUGUUGCCCUGGAAAAACUUUAAUGGUGCCCUCACUUUAGGGUGACUCUCAGAUGAUAUCAAUUUGGAUAAUAAAUGUUAGAAUAAUCCUUAAAUAUACAGAGAAUCUAGCACAGAAAAUGCUUCUCUCUCUCUCUCUCUCUCUCUCUCACACACACACACACACACACUCACUGUGGAAAGGUGUUCCAGUAUUAUCGUAAGAUACAUGCAGAGUAUCAGACACUUGGCUAGCUGAAGAUGACCUCUUAGUCACUGUGCAUUUCUCUUCUUGACAUCAACCUUAAUAACAGCAAUCAAAAU